rnacentral:rRNA from 1 species
UACGUAGGGUGCGAGCGUUAAUCGGAAUUACUGGGCGUAAAGCGUGCGCAGGCGGUGAUGUAAGACCGAUGUGAAAUCCCCGGGCUUAACCUGGGAACUGCAUUGGUGACUGCAUUGCUGGAGUAUGGCAGAGGGGGGGUGGAAUUCCACGUGUAGCAGUGAAAUGCGUAGAGAUGUGGAGGAACACCGAUGGCGAAGGCAGCCCCCUGGGCCACUACUGACGCUGAGAAGCGAAAGCGUGGGGAGCAAACAGG